AAGAGAUUAGUUAAAUGAAUAACUUUAACUUGUCAAGUUAAGAUUACUAACGUGAUUAGUAUCUCUUG
rnacentral:tRNA from 1 species